CCCCCCCCCCCCCCCCCCCCCCCCCCCCCCCCCCGCCCCCGGUCGCGCGCCGGCCCCACCGUCGGCCACAACUCCCAGGAGCAGCUUCCCCUGGAGCCGCCCCCAUCAGUCCUAGAGCGCUUCUUUUGAUUGGUUCUCUCGGGUCACGUGGCGCUCAGUCGCCGCUCCGGCGUCAAACUCCUCCUCGCUGAUUGGUCACCAAACCCCGGUGCGCCACCCCUUUAUGGCGAUGAGGAAUUAUAAUUGUCGGGAGCCGCCUCGCUGAUUGGUCACAACUUCCAAUGCGUCACCAUUAAAUAGCGAUGAGGAAUUAUAAUUGUCGGGAAGAAAGACUGCGCCAUAUUAGAGCCAGCGUUGCGGCCGUUUUUCAGCAUGGCCCUUGCGGCGGGCCCGGAGCGCCGAGCGGCUCCAGCACAGGAAAAGAGGGGAGAAAGAGCAGGUGCUGGAUAUCGCCGAGAAUUGGGAUUGAUUUCUGUGCCCGAGCUGCCAAGGCCGGCAGACUCCGAGCACCGCCGGACGCCGCCAGCGCUGCGCUGUGUCUGCCCUGCCCUGCCCUGGCUCAGCCGCCUGGCGAGAACCCGCAGGAGCACAUUCCUCUGCAGUUGCAUGACGUCCAUCACCAGCUUCUCCGGCAUUGGGCGCUUUUUCUUUGUGGCGCUUUCGGAAAAGGAGGGACAUCGUAAUGGCUCCACCGCCAAACUCCGCCUCGGUGCUUGGGCAAAACUACCGCGCCGGAUAUGAUCGCCGCCAUCUCUGC
rnacentral:lncRNA from 12 species